UACGUAGGGUGCAAGCGUUAUCCGGAAUUAUUGGGCGUAAAGAGCUCGUAGGCGGUUUGUCGCGUCUGCUGUGAAAACUGGGGGCUCAACCCCCAGCCUGCAGUGGGUACGGGCAGACUAGAGUGCGGUAGGGGAGAUUGGAAUUCCUGGUGUAGCGGUGGAAUGCGCAGAUAUCAGGAGGAACACCGAUGGCGAAGGCGGAUCUCUGGGCCGAUACUGACGCUGAGGAGCGAAAGCGUGGGGAGCGAACAGG
rnacentral:rRNA from 1 species